UACGGGGAGCAAGCGUUGUUCGGAUUUACUGGGCGUAAAGGGCGCGUAGGCGGCCAGCACAAGUCAGUUGUGAAAUCUCCGGGCUUAACUCGGAAAGGUCAACUGAUACUGUGCGGCUAGAGUGCAGAAGGGGCAACUGGAAUUCUCGGUGUAGCGGUGAAAUGCGUAGAUAUCGAGAGGAACACCUGCGGCGAAGGCGGGUUGCUGGGCUGACACUGACGCUGAUGCGCGAAAGCCAGGGGAGCGAACGGG
rnacentral:rRNA from 1 species